AGUGAACGCUGGCGGUAGGCCUAACUCAUGCAAGUCGAACGGCAGCACAGUAAGAGCUUGCUCUUACGGGUGGCGAGUGGCGGACGGGUGAGGAAUACAUCGGAAUCUACUUUUUCGUGGGGGAUAACGUAGGGAAACUUACGCUAAUACCGCAUACGACCUACGGGUGAAAGCAGGGGAUCUUCGGACCUUGCGCGAUUGAAUGAGCCGAUGUCGGAUUAGCUAGUUGGCGGGGUAAAGGCCCACCAAGGCGACGAUCCGUAGCUGGUCUGAGAGGAUGAUCAGCCACACUGGAGCUGAGACACGGUCCAGACUCCUACGGGAGGCAGCAGUGGGGAAUAUUGGACAAUGGGCGCAAGCCUGAUCCAGCCAUACCGCGUGGGUGAAGAAGGCCUUCGGGUUGUAAAGCCCUUUUGUUAAGAAAGAAAAGCAGCAGGUUAAUACCCCGCUGUUCUGACGGUACCCAAAGAAUAAGCACCGGCUAACUUCGUG
rnacentral:rRNA from 1 species